rnacentral:rRNA from 1 species
GCCAGACUCCUACGGGAGGCAGCAGUGGGGGAUAUUGCACAAUGGGGGAAACCCUGAUGCAGCGACGCCGCGUGGGUGAAGAAGCGCCUCGGCGCGUAAAGCCCUGUCAGCAGGGAAGAAAAUGACGGUACCUGAAGAAGAAGCCCCGGCUAACUACGUGCCAGCAGCCGCGGUAAUACGUAGGGGGCAAGCGUUAUCCGGAUUUACUGGGUGUAAAGGGGGCGCAGACGGCGAUGCAAGCCAGGAGUGAAAGCCCGGGGCUCAACCGCGGGACUGCAUUGGAAACUGCGGGACUGGAGUGUCGGAGGGGUAAGCGGAAUUCCUGGUGUAGCGGUGAAAUGCGUGGAUAUCAGGAGGAACACCGGUGGCGAAGGCGGCUUACUGGACGAUGACUGACGCUGAGGCUCGAAAGCGUGGGGAGCAAACAGGAUUAGAUACCCCGGUACG